rnacentral:sRNA from 1 species
AUAGGGGAUGGAAAGGGUGAUGGUGCUGGGGUGUGAGUUGUCUGGGUCAACAAGGGUUGUGGGAGUAGAGGCCCUGCUCACAGGUGCUUCCUCUCCUCUCCUUGGGGUGGGGCCAGCCAACAAGCACAAGCCAUGGAUUGAGGCAGAGUACCAGGGUAUCGUCAUGGAGAACGACAACACAGUCCUCCUGAAUCCACCACUCUUUGCUUUAGACAAGGAUGCCCCACUGCGCUAUGCAGGUGAGAUCUGCGGCUUCCGGCUCCAUGGGUCCGGGGUGCCCUUUGAGGCUGUGAUCCUUGACAAGGCGACAGGAGAGGGGCUGAUCCGGGCCAAGGAGCCUAUGGACUGCGAGGCCCAGAAGGAACACACCUUCACCAUCCAGGCCUAUGACUGUGGCGAGGGCCCCGACGGGGCCAACACCAAGAAGUCCCACAAGUGAGGAAGUCCUUGUCUCCUGCCCCACGUGUUGCAGGGUCCUCCUCCCUGCUCCCAAGCCCACCAUCCUCUGUCCGUGCAGUCAUCGAAUAUCCACCCCCACCCACUGCUGUUCCUA